rnacentral:lncRNA from 1 species
GUGUGAGUCGUCCUUCUUCUCCCCAGCGCCCAGCCGUGCGCACGAGUUCUCGGCCGGCGAGUUCGCAAUGGCGACCUCCUGCGCCCCGGCCUCGACCUCUUGCGCCCCGGCCUCGGCCUCCCCUUGCUGCUCACCUACAUCGGCGCCGGCGAGGUGAAGAGGAGGCGCGACGGCGGCCCGCGUAGGCGUGGUGAGGGAGGGCGCCUCGCUGCGGCCGCAGCUGCGCGUCGACGAGCCAAAUCCACAAACUGUGGGCAUGGAGGUGCGGUCCAUAUGCUUGAUGAUGAACUCCGCUGCCGCCGGUGCCCUCCAUAUCUCUCCAGUAUAUCCCUCCGACGAGCCAAAUCUUUCUGAUGUGUGCCGCCGCCAGCAGGAACCACGCCGUCAAGCUCAUCUAGGGCCGCCCGAUGCUCAAGCCGCCGCCGCCGCCGGAGCUCCAUUGCUCCGCCGUUCUAACCGACAACGCCGCCGUAUCCACGCCAUUCUGCAGCCCGUCCUCGACCACGCCGGAGCUCCCCUAUGCCCCGCCGCCAGAGCAAGCAGCAGCUGCGGCGACACGCACGGGGAGGGAGUGCCCGCCGGCGUCCACCAUCGGAUCCGGGGGAGAUGAAGUGACCAAGGACCCGAUUGCUUUUUAUUCAGGGGCCCUUCUGCAAAAUAAGUUGUAUCGGGAUGUAAUUGCUUUUUUUCUUUGCCAUGUCAUCAUGUUCAGUGGGACCCACCUGUCAUAAUCGUAUUCAAAACCACCUAAGUGGGUGAUUAGUGUUUUUUGCAAAAAAAAAUAGCCUCGGAAUUAGUGGUUUUUGGCACAAAACCGUAGAAAUGUGGUUUCUACAACCCUAGCCUUCAAUAUCGAUGUUUUCUGCAAUUCACUCAG